UACGUAGGGUGCAAGCGUUGUCCGGAAUUAUUGGGCGUAAAGAGCUCGUAGGCGGUCUGUCGCGUCUGCUGUGAAAACCUAGGGCUUAACUCUGGGCGUGCAGUGGGUACGGGCAGGCUAGAGUGCGGUAGGGGAGACUGGAAUUCCUGGUGUAGCGGUGAAAUGCGUAGAUAUCAAGAGGAACACCUGAGGUGAAGACGGGUUGCUGGGCUGACACUGACGCUGAGGCGCGAAAGCUAGGGUAGCAAACGGG
rnacentral:rRNA from 1 species